rnacentral:rRNA from 1 species
UACGUAGGGCGCAAGCGUUGUCCGGAAUUAUUGGGCGUAAAGAGCUCGUAGGCGGUUUGUCGCGUCUGCUGUGAAAACUCGAGGCUCAACCUCGGGCUUGCAGUGGGUACGGGCAGACUAGAGUGCGGUAGGGGUGACUGGAAUUCCUGGUGUAGCGGUGGAAUGCGCAGAUAUCAGGAGGAACACCGAUGGCGAAGGCAGGUCUCUGGGCCAUUACUGACACUGAGAAGCGAAAGCAUGGGGAGCGAACAGG